rnacentral:lncRNA from 1 species
GUCGGAUCAGAAAUCUCAUCCCUUAGAUGAGAUGGUGGGUUCCAGCUAUAUCCUUGGGGUAAGGAUCUCCACUUUUAUUUAUUCUUCUUACUUGAAACCGAUGUUUCCAACUUGACUUAUUUUCCUUUCGAAGCUAGCCCACAACAUCACCAUCCUCAGUGAGGGCCUCAUUAGUUUUAAUUGAAUGAAGUUCUCGCUAGAAGAAAAACUGCAAGCUUCCAAGGCCCAAACAAAGGUGGUUGAAGAGGCAAAGAAGGCGGUCAAAGAGGUGGCAUCCCAAGCCAA